UGAUGUAGAAGAUGGUGAUGAAAAGGUUGAAUAUAAAAAUUGUAAAGUUGUGUCCUCUGAAGUCACUGUCUUACGAUAGUAUACCUAUAGCAUUUGAAAUAAUACUUGUUGUUUGUAGAGUAGUGUCCCUCCCUUCUUACGCCUCUCUCUCUCUCCUCAGGGUCAUCAGAGAAUUGCAUUCCAAAAUUUGACCUGGUGCUGAAGAACAUCUAGGAACUGAACAUCGUUGCUAGAGAAGGAGAGAAGAAGAUUCAGCACACUGUGAGUGGAGCACGUUUCAAGACGGUCGAUAGCAUUCCCCUCAUCCUGUACGCAAACGGGAUCUUCAUGUUCAACGGACCAUUCCGUUCGUACGACGAACCAGAAACACAGCAAUGCAUGCAAGAUCUUACAGGUGGUUAUUUCCCAACUGAGCUGCAGUCUAGAUAUCCUGAUGGUGUCCCAAUCAAGGUGGAUGAUCAGAGAGAUGUGGCUUUUAAAGACCAAAGUAACCGGGAGUUCUUCCCUGGUACUGGCCUAGCCGUUGGUGGGUGCAAUGAUGGGCCAUCGAGACUGGUACCCUCUAACCUGGAUAAGGCCACCAGUAUGGCAAGCAGUGGACCACCUGUCAGUCAGGAGCAUGGACCACUCAAGUUAAGAGAAACAACCAAGCCCCCAGUUUAGUAAUAAUCAAUAUUAUUUCACAGGAAUUUGAGUUCUGUAUGAUCAGAGUAUUUAACUGAUAAUUUUGUAUAUGUACCUCCAAUGAAUUUUAAUUUCUUCACAGUCGUGUAACAUGAUCAAUAUAUUUUCUGAUAAGGGCCAGCAAAGUGCUGAAUGAAUUCCAUAUAGAUAAUGCUCUUUCACAUCUUAGCAGCCAAUCUAUAACAUUCAUAAUGAUCUAAAGAAUCAUUUUUUAAAAAUAAUUCCAUUAAUGCUGCAAAUACCAUCAAACCUGUCUUAGUGGCCACCUUUCUAUCUAGGCCACCUGUCUACAGUGGUCACUUUCUCUUUUUCCCUUGGGUGGCCUCACGUUUCACUGUAUAUUUAUUUAUAAAUAUCUUUACUUGCCUGAAGUUCAUAGUGCAAAUAUAAUCAAACCUGUCUCAGUGGCCAACUCUCUAUAAAGACCACCUGUUUGUAAUGACUUUGUACUUAACAAAACUAUUAUUAUUAUUUUUUUUUUUAAUUAGUGAACAUAUUAUAUGACCACUUUUUACACUGUAAACAAAAAGUACUUGGACUACUAUUUGCAUGUUUUUAUAAACCAUAUUGAAUUAGCUCUCAUGCUAUUUUUUGGCCGGUUCUCCCUUUAACAACAUUUUAAGUUUUUAAGUUUAAAAUAUCCUUUAUUUGAAUCACAUCCUCUGUGAAUUUCAAAUCUAGCCACACUUUUAUGUAUCUUUAAGGAAUCCAACCAGAUCUCUACGUAACAAUAAACCUGUGAAUUAGCCAUAACUUAAUAAAGUUAUGGCUAAUUCACAGGUUUGAUAUGACAUGAUAUACAACAUCAACUGUUUAAUUGUUGUUACUUUAGAUCUGAGGAUACAUCUUGAUAAACAGAGGAAACCACAUUCCCCUGACUACAUUCUGGUGACGACAUUCCCUAAUAGGACAUACACCGAUCUGGAGUCAACUCUGGAAGCGAGUGGAUUAACACCAAAUGCUACUGUUCUGAUGAAAUUAAAGAUCAGAUAACACCAAACACAUCUUGCUUGUCUUCAUCCAUUUUGUCACUGACAAUGACAAAAUUGACACUGGAAGGGAAUGAAUUAACACCAAAUGCUACUGUUCUGAUGAGAUUGAAGAUGAGAUAACACCAAACACAUCUUGCUUGUCUUCAUCCAUUUUGUAACUGACAAUGAAAGAAUUGACACUGGAAGGGAAUGGAUUAACACCAAAUGCUACUAUUCUGAUGAAAUUGAAGAAUGAAUAGUGUUAAUCUCCAUCAUGUUUUUUUGUAAUGUCUUUUGUAGAUGACAGUGAAUGAUAUAGACAUUGCCAUGUUAAAGCAACACAGAUUUCAGAAUUCAGCACUAAAGGCGAAUGCAUGAUUAACUUUUUAAAAUGUCUCCAAUUUUUGAUGAAGUUCAAGAAUAGAAAGCGUCAACCAUCAUGUCUUUAAAUCGUUUGCAAUACGUUCCAAAUUCUGAUCCUCGUCUGUUCUGAAUUGGACAAUGAAAGUGGAUAGAUUACAUGGAGUAAUUAAUACUGCUACAUGUAAUGUACAGCACCUAGCUGUAUUGCAUCAUCAGUCUAUUGGGUAGUUAAUGUUUUUGAUUGGUGCAGAUGGAUAUUGAAAUGAUAAAUGCUAGUGCCAUCAUUUUGGUAGCUUUUCCUGCUUAACCUGGACAAUGAAUACAUGUGUAAACAAUACAUUCUUUAUGAACAUGAACGGAUCUGAAUUCAGCUAUGGAAGAGAAUGGCUCAAUGGCAAAUAUCAUAUUUAUCUAUCCAUUCAUUGUCUGUCUAUCUAUUUCUUUAUCCAUCCAUCCAUCCAUUGACCUAUCUAUCUCUCUACCAUGGUAUCUUCUCCCUUCUUGGAGAUUAAUUGUAACAUUUAUCCACACUCCUUUGCAAUUCCAAUUCUAUCGACGUAUGUCAAAAUGUUUUUUUUUUUCUUCUUUGUAUAACGUCAUGGUUUUUUUCCCAAUUGCUUCUUGUCUUCCCUCCUUAUCUAGUACCUCCCAUCUCCCAAGUCUUUCAAAUAGGACAAGUAUUUUGUCUAUAUUUUAUUAACUAGUCUCUUGUAGUUGUUUAGCUGUCAGGAUAUUUUUUGAAAUCCUGCCCUAAAAUUAUGCAGGCAGAGGGUGUGUUGUCACAUAAUAUUUAAUAAAUCUGGAGUUACAUAGCGCUUAAA